rnacentral:rRNA from 1 species
GAUGAACGCUAGCGGCAGGCUUAAUACAUGCAAGUCGAGGGGCAGCACAGAUAGCAAUAUUGGGUGGCGACCGGCAAACGGGUGCGGAACACGUACACAACCUUCCUUUUGGUGGGGGAUAGCCUUUGGAAACGGAGAUUAAUACCCCAUAAGAUAUUGGAAUCGCAUGGUUUUGAUAUUAAAGAUUUAUUGCCAGAAGAUGUGUGUGCGUAUGAUUAGGUAGUUGGUGAGGUAAAGGCUCACCAAGCCGACGAUCAUUAACUGGUGUGAGAGAACGACCAGUCACAGGGGCAAGGAGACACGGGCCCGACUCCUACGGGAGGCAGCAGUAAGGAAUAUUGGUCAAUGGACGAAAGUCUGAACCAGCCAUGCCGCGUGGAGGAUGAAGGUCCUCUGGAUUGUAAACUUCUUUUAUAUGGGGCGAAAAAGGGCCAUUCUUGGUCAACUGACGGUACCAUAGGAAUAAGCACCGGCUAACUCCGUGCCAGCAGCCGCCGUAAUAC